GACAGAGGGUGCAAACGUUGUUCGGAAUACUGGCGUAAGCGAGUGUAGGCGGUCUCAUAAGUCAGGUGUGAAAGCCCUGGGCUCAACCCAGGAAGUGCACUUGAAACUGCGAGGCUAGAGUAUCGGAGAGGUUGGUGGAAUUCUCGGUGUAGAGGUGAAAUGCGUAGAUAUCAGGAGGAACACCUGUGGUGUAGACGGCUUACUGGACCAUGACUGACGCUGAGGCACGAAAGCGUGGGGAGCAAACAGG
rnacentral:rRNA from 1 species